rnacentral:rRNA from 1 species
GAUGAACGCUGGCGGCGUGCCUAACACAUGCAAGUCGAGCGAGUGAGUUCUUCGGAACGAUCUAGCGGCGGACGGGUGAGUAACACGUGGGCAACCUGCCUCAUAGAGGGGAAUAGCCUCCCGAAAGGGAGAUUAAUACCGCAUAAAAUUAUCGAGUGGCAUCACAUGAUAAUCAAAGGAGUAAUCCGCUAUGAGAUGGGCCCGCGGCGCAUUAGCUAGUUGGUGAGGUAAUGGCUCACCAAGGCGACGAUGCGUAGCCGACCUGAGAGGGUGAUCGGCCACAUUGGGACUGAGACACGGCCCAGACUCCUACGGGAGGCAGCAGUGGGGAAUAUUGCACAAUGGGGGAAACCCUGAUGCAGCAACGCCGCGUGAGUGAUGAAGGUCUUCGGAUUGUAAAGCUCUGUCUUUGGGGACGAUAAUGACGGUACCCAAGGAGGAAGCCACGGCUAACUACGUGCCAGCCGCCGCCGUAA